GAUGAACGCUGGCGGCGUGCCUAAUACAUGCAAGUCGAGCGAACAGACGAGAGUGCUUGCACUCUCUGACGUUAGCGGCGGACGGGUGAGUAACACGUGGGUAACCUACCUAUAAGACUGGGAUAACUUCGGGAAACCGGAGCUAAUACCGGAUAAUAUUUAGCUUCGCAUGAAGCAAUAGUGAAAGACGGUUCUGCUGUCACUUAUAGAUGGACCCGCGGUGUAUUAGCUAGUUGGUGAGGUAACGGCUCACCAAGGCAACGAUACAUAGCCGACCUGAGAGGGUGAUCGGCCACACUGGGACUGAGACACGGCCCAGACUCCUACGGGAGGCAGCAGUAGGGAAUCUUCCGCAAUGGACGAAAGUCUGACGGAGCAAUGCCGCGUGAGUGAAGAAGGUUUUCGGAUCGUAAAACUCUGUUGUAAGGGAAAAACAAGUACGUUAGUAACUGAACGUACCUUGACGGUACCUUACCAGAAAGCCACGGCUAACUACGUG
rnacentral:rRNA from 1 species